CCCCCCACCCACCUCCCGUUACUCAUGGGGAAAAUUAUGCCCGCCUCCGCACAGAGCUUCCGACAGCACCAAGUCUUCACCCACGGUUAGUUCUUCAGCAGACUUGGUGUCGCGGGCACACGUUUUUGCAGAAUUCUUGAUAGAAGACGCCUGGGAAACAAUGGUGGCGCAAUACGCUACGCUGGCAGCCUUGACUGUGGUGCUGGUGCUUAGCCCUGGCUAUACCCAAGAGUUUAGUGAAGAGCUGUGCCAUACGGGUAAUAUGGAGGGCUUGUGCGAGUGCCAAGUGGACCAUCCUGGCACCAUACAGAUCAUAUGCUCUUGCUCGCCUGGCCAGGCUAACACACCACAGUG
rnacentral:lncRNA from 1 species